rnacentral:pre_miRNA from 1 species
AGGAGGAACAGCCCCAGUGGCGGAGGCAGCUCUGGAGCCCUGGAGUCAGCUCCGGCAGGAACUCCGUCUGCAGGGCCUGGAGUCUCCGGGCGGGG